CAAAAAAAAAAAAAAACAAAUAAAUGCUACUUAAGCUGUCAAGAACAAUGGAAAUUUAAGAAUUAUUCCGAAGCUACAAGAAACAAAUUGCAAUGUUUGCAAGAGAAAUGACAAACACGGUUAAACAGGUACAACCGCCAAGGAGGUUUAAAAAAAGAUCAUAACACGAAGGAGCACUAUCAACUCUGUAUUCCAGCACAUGUUGCAAUCCAAAACUCAAGAAUUGUGCCAUCUAUGCCUUAUUUGCAAUAUUGUUUGAGAGCCAGUCCAGUCCUUCAUACAGCCCUUCACCAGAAGUGGCACAUGUGCUCUGAAUGUACCUGCAGUGCACACAUACACAAUGGAUGCAUAAGAGGAGCGUAGGUGGUAAGAAGAUAAGGGGGUUUGGGCUUUCACUUAUCUUACCAGUGGCGUUGACGGAGAGAGGGAAGGCCAAGCUUAUCAGUUAUU
rnacentral:misc_RNA from 1 species